AGAAACACUGGUGGCGACAAGUUGCAACUGCCCCAUGAGUUGCGAAGAGGUUACUUACAAACCAGUACACGUAUUCACAAAACGGCAUGUAGACAACGUGUCACCAGAACUAGCUGCGCGCGGUACUCGAGGCCUGGUGAGGCUGGCCAGCCUUCCCACCACGAGGGUGCAACGAGCUGCCAUCAGGCACACCUUGGGAUUAGUCGUGGACAUCGGCGGAGUGGUCGGCGUGUUCCUCGGCGCUACCCUACUCAACGUCAUCGAAAUUGUUUAUUUAUUAUGCAUUCGUCGGACGAAAUAGAGAAAUAUUUUGAAUUAAUAGAAUAUUUGGAAUAAGGUUUUCAAUUCAUACACAAACACCUAGGUGAUUUAAUACGCCACACAAUUAGGCGACGAAAUUGAUGUAUUGUUGCUUAAUCAUGUUUGAAACUAUCUUUAGUUUCAGAAUGUGUAUUUUUUUAUUCGUUGGUGUUCUUUUUAUAUUAGA